rfam:Canis lupus familiaris chromosome 6, whole genome shotgun sequence.
ACCUGGCUGGCUCAGUUGGUGGAGCAUGUGACUCUUGAUCUCGGGUUUGUGAGUUCAAGCCCCACAUUGGGUG